rnacentral:rRNA from 1 species
ACUAGUGGCGGACGGGUGAGUAACGCGUGGGUAACCUGCCUCAUACAGGGGGAUAACAGCUGGAAACAGCCGCUAACACCGCAUAAGCACACAGCAUCGCAUGGUGCAGGGUGAAAAAUAUUUAUAGGUAUGAGAUGGACCCGCGUCUGAUUAGCUAGUUGGUAGGGUAAAGGCCUACCAAGGCGACGAUCAGUAGCCGGCUUGAGAGAGUGACCGGCCACAUUGGGACUGAGACACGGCCCAAACUCCUACGGGAGGCAGCAGUGGGGAAUAUUGCACAAUGGGGGAAACCCUGAUGCCAGCGACGCCGCGUGAGUGAAGAAGUAUUUCGGUAUGUAAAGCUCUAUCAGCAGGGAAGAAAAUGACGGUACCUGACUAAGAAGCCCCGGCUAACUACGUGCCAGCAGCAGC